GUCUACGGCCAUGCCACCCUGAACGAGCCCGAUCCCGUCUGAUCUUGAAGCUAAGCAGGGUCGGGCCUGGUUAGUACUUGGAUGGGAGACCACCUAGGAAGACCAGGUGCUGCAGGUG
rnacentral:rRNA from 1 species